rnacentral:rRNA from 1 species
GUCCACGCCUUAAACGAUGAGAACUAGACGUUGGGAGGCCUAGCUUUCCAGUGUCGCAGCUAACGCGAUAAGUUCUCCGCCUGGGGAGUACGGCCGCAAGGUUGAAACUCAAAGGAAUUGACGGGGACCCCGCACAAGCGGUGGAGUAUGUGGUUUAAUUCGAUGCAACGCGAAGAACCUUACCUGGUCUUGACAUCUAGGGAAUCCUGCAGAGAUGCGGGAGUGCCGCAAGGAACCCUAAGACAGGUGCUGCAUGGCUGUCGU